AAAGAACAUAAUUCUUAAUAAUUUCUUAAGUCUAAUUUGGAAUUGAGAGAAACACUACAAAUUAGUUUUUUUGUCAUUAACGUUACAAUGGUAUGGAUUGGUGGGUGUAGGCGAGGUGUACCAGUAUAUUAUUGGUGUGUGGCUGUUAAUUGUUACUGUUUAUUUCAAGAUUAGUGUUUCUUAUAGGAUAUUUUCUUUUUUCUUCAGUUUAAUCAGUUGAAAAAUAGUGCUUUAUUGAUUUUUGACGUAAAUAAUUGAGUUCCUUUUCUUUCUUUUGGUUAACUGGUAAGAGUGAUGCAUUGUUUAUUGAAAUAUGAAGUUUUAUGGGCAUAGAUGAGGAAUUAAUUGUCAUUAUUUUAUGCACCAAUCGUAUGUAAUUAAGUGUAAGUUUGUAAGGGAUGUUGAUGGUCAAUAAACUAUAAUAAUGAUGUGGGUGAAGUUUGAGUGUACUAAUACAGCUUGAUUUAUUUCAGGUUGUGUCAAGAUAUGGAGGGAGAGAGAACAGCCAAGGAGGAGGAGGAAGAGGAACAGGAAGAUAACAAGAAGAAGAAGAAGAAGAAACAAUGAAUGAAGACAAAAUAAGAAAAGGAAAGUCAAGCCAAGAGUCCCUGAGUGCUGCCAAGGAGACACACUGCUGCUGGAACACUGCACCACCAAGCCAAGCCACAAUGCAACACAAGCCUUCUACAACACCUACAGCCAUCAGCAACACCCAGAGUACAAGACAACACCUGGAGCCAUGAAGAACAAGUGAGGGAAGACCGACUGCCACGCAACUCUUCCCUCCCUGGCCACCAACACUACCACCACACCACUAGGAGUACCAGUAGUAGUAGGUGAUAGCAGCGCAGGUCAAAGGUGCCAUGCAGAAUCCUUGCUGCUGCUGCUGCUGCGGCGGCAGGUGUGCGAUUCUAAGCUGAAUCCCUCGCUGGACGACGGCGGAAGCGGAGGGGAUGGCGGUGGUAGUAGCAGGGGUUUGCCGGGCCGCUGGGAUGCGCUGCGAGGCAGAGUCCCACAGUGGCAGUAACGGCGACGGUAGCGGUGGAAGGGGGAAGGGGUCAGUGAAGGCCGUGCGAAGCCAGAUUCCCUCCCUGAGGGUGCAGGAGUCACGGGAUCGCUGUAGAUUCUUUGGACCGCCAAUUCCUGUAACAAAAAUUAACCGAUUACCUCCAUGUGUACCACGCCACACUGUCCUACAAUACACAUUUUCACUGCCUC